GACGUAGGGCGCGAGCGUUGUCCGGAUUUAUUGGGCGUAAAGAGCUCGUAGGCGGCUCGUUGCGUCGGCUGUGAAAACCCGCAGCUCAACUGUGGGCUUGCAGCUGAUACGGGCGGGCUUGGAUUCGGUAGGGGAGACUGGAAUUCCUGGUGUAGCGGUGAAAUGCGCAGAUAUCAGGAGGAACACCGAUGGCGAAGGCAGGUCUCUGGGCAUUAACUGACGCUGAGGAGCGAAAGCAUGGGGAGCGAACAGG
rnacentral:rRNA from 1 species